rnacentral:rRNA from 1 species
AAAUGAAUUGACGGGGGCCCGCACAAGCGGUGGAGCAUGUGGUUUAAUUCGACGCAACGCGAAGAACCUUACCAGGUCUUGACAUCCCCUGAGAGCAUCAGAGAUGAUGUGUUUAAUCUUCGGAUUGACAGGGAGACAGGUGGUGCAUGGUUGUCGUCAGCUCGUGUCGUGAGAUGUUGGGUUAAGUCCCGCAACGAGCGCAACCCUUAUUCUUAGUUGCCAGCAUGAAAGAUGGGCACUCUAAGGAGACUGCCGGUGACAAACCGGAGGAAGGUGGGGAUGACGUCAAAUCAUCAUGCCCUUUAUGACCUGGGCUACACACGUGCUACAAUGGCCUGUACAAAGGGUAGCGAAGCAGUGAUGCGGAGCCAAUCCCAAAAAGCAGGUCUCAGUUCGGAUUGCAGGCUGCAACUCGCCUGCAUGAAGUCGGAAUCGCUAGUAAUCGCGGAUCAGCAUGCCGCGGUGAAUACGUUCCCGGGCCUUGUACACACCGCCCGU